rnacentral:rRNA from 1 species
AACGAACGCUGGCGGCAGGCCUAACACAUGCAAGUCGAGCGGACCUUUCGGGGUCAGCGGCGGACGGGUGAGUAACGCGUGGGAAUAUGCCCUUCUCUACGGAAUAGUCCUGGGAAACUGGGGGUAAUACCGUAUACGCCCUUUGGGGGAAAGAUUUAUCGGGGAAGGAUUAGCCCGCGUUGGAUUAGGUAGUUGGUGGGGUAAUGGCCUACCAAGCCGACGAUCCAUAGCUGGUUUGAGAGGAUGAUCAGCCACACUGGGACUGAGACACGGCCCAGACUCCUACGGGAGGCAGCAGUGGGGAAUCUUAGACAAUGGGGGCAACCCUGAUCUAGCCAUGCCGCGUGAGUGAUGAAGGCCUUAAGGUUGUAAAGCUCUUUCAGCUGGGAAGAUAAUGACGGUACCAGCAGAAGAAGCCCCGGCUAACUCCGUG